rnacentral:rRNA from 1 species
UUGAUCCUGGCUCAGGAUGAACGCUAGCGGCAGGCCUAACACAUGCAAGUCGAGGGGUAACGAUGGAGCUUGCUCCAGGCGACGACCGGCGCACGGGUGAGUAACGCGUUUGCAACCUACCUCUAACUGGAAGAUAGCCCGAAGAAAUUCGGAUUAAUAUUCCAUAACACUAUGAUUUGGCAUCUUUUUAUAGUUAAAGUUUCGACGGUUAGAGAUGGGCAUGCGUGACAUUAGCUAGUUGGUGAGGUAACGGCUCACCAAUGCCACGAUGUCUAGGGGGUCUGAGAGGAUGGUCCCCCACACUGGUACUGAGACACGGACCAGACUCCUACGGGAGGCAGCAGUGAGGAAUAUUGGUCAAUGGGCGAAAGCCUGAACCAGCCAUGCCGCGUGAAGGAUGACGGCCCUACGGGUUGUAAACUUCUUUUGUUUGAGAAGAAACCUCCCUACGUGUAGGGGGCUGACGGUAUCGAACGAAUAAGCAUCGGCUAACUCCGUGCCAGCAGCCGCGGUAAUACGGAGGAUGCAAGCGUUAUCCGGAUUCAUUGGGUUUAAAGGGUACGCAGGCGGAAAACUAAGUCAGUGGUGAAAUCCUGCAGCUUAACUGUAGAACUGUCAUUGAUACUGGUUUUCUUGGAUUCAGUUGAGGUAGGCGGAAUGUGUAAUGUAGCGGUGAAAUGCUUAGAUAUUACACAGGACACCGAUUGCGAAGGCAGCUUACUAAACUGCGAUUGACGCUGAGGUACGAAAGCGUGGGUAGCAAACAGGAUUAGAUACCCUGGUAGUCCACGCCGUAAACUAUGAUCACUCGUUGUUGGCAACACAUCGUCAGCGACUGAGCGAAAGCAUUAAGUGAUCCACCUG